UGGGGAAUAUUGCACAAUGGGCGCAAGCCUGAUGCAGCCAUGCCGCGUGUGUGAAGAAGGCCUUCGGGUUGUAAAGCACUUUCAGCGAGGAGGAAGGUGGUGAGCUUAAUACGCUCAUCAAUUGACGUUACUCGCAGAAGAAGCACCGGCUAACUCCGUGCCAGCAGCCGCGGUAAUACGGAGGGUGCAAGCGUUAAUCGGAAUUACUGGGCGUAAAGCGCACGCAGGCGGUUUGUUAAGUCAGAUGUGAAAUCCCCGGGCUCAACCUGGGAACUGCAUUUGAAACUGGCAAGCUAGAGUCUCGUAGAGGGGGGUAGAAUUCCAGGUGUAGCGGUGAAAUGCGUAGAGAUCUGGAGGAAUACCGGUGGCGAAGGCGGCCCCCCUGGACGAAGACUGACGCUCAGGUGCGAAAGCGUGGGGCAGCAAAACAGGAUUAGAUACCCUGGUAGUCCACGCUGU
rnacentral:rRNA from 1 species